rnacentral:rRNA from 1 species
CCUACGGGUGGCAGCAGUGGGGAAUAUUGCACAAUGGGGGAAACCCUGAUGCAGCGACGCCGCGUGAGUGAAGAAGUAAUUCGUUACGUAAAGCUCUAUCAGCAGGGAAGAAACACUGACCUUACGGUCAGCAGACGGUACCUGAGUAAGAAGCCCCGGCUAACUUCGUGCCAGCAGCCGCGGUAAUACGUAGGGGGCAAGCGUUAUCCGGAUUUACUGGGUGUAAAGGGAGCGUAGACGGUGCGCCAAGUCUGGAGGGAAAUGCCGCAGCUUAACUGCGGAACUGCUUUGGAAACUGGCGAACUAGAGUGCGGGAGGGGUAAGCGGAAUUUGUAGUGUAGCGGUGAAAUGCGUAGAUAUUAGGAGGAACACCGGUGGCGAAGGCGGCUUACUGGACCGUAACUGACGUUGAGGCUCGAAAGCGUGGGGAGCAAACAGGAUUAGAUACCCUAGUAGUC